ACAUCCUCUGGCAAGGAGCUCCACAUGAUGACUGUGCAUUGUGUGAGCUGUGCGACUGUGCAUCCCAGUGGAGCCUGGGAGCUGACUGCAGAGGGAAGGCUUGAUCUGGGACUAGGAAGCUGAGAGCCAGGCAGACUCAUCAUAUUGCUGACAGAAGGCCAGCAAGAAAGAAUACAGGACAGCAUGCUGCAGGCAGAACAAUGGUGUGGAGGAGUUGAGAUUCUUACUUCUACACCUCUGUCCAGGACUGUCAUUAGGAAUUUACAACAGGACUACCGUAUAAACUGAAGACACACUGUGAUCUUGACUGCAAAAUUACAUGAUACUGCACAUCUACAAGUAAUGAACACCAGAACCCAGCAGCUAGGGAACAGAAGGCAACUGCUGCUGGUGAAAAAAUCAGUUCACCACAGGACAAGAGACAAAUCCUGUCACUUCUAUCAAUGAAGUGGGAAUUUACACAGGUACUAAUGCGGAGAGUGGACUAGAUGAUACAUCUCAGGGAAGGGA